UACGUAGGGGGCAAGCGUUGUCCGGAUUUAUUGGGCGUAAAGAGCGUGUAGGCGGUUUGGUAGGUCCGUUGUGAAAACUCGAGGCUCAACCUCGAGACGCCGAUGGAAACCAUCAGACUAGAGUCCGGAAGAGGAGAGUGGAAUUCCUGGUGUAGCGGUGAAAUGCGCAGAUAUCAGGAAGAACACCCGUGGCUAAGGCGGCCCUCUAGUACGGUACUGACGCUGAGACGCGAAAGCGUGGGGAGCAAACAGG
rnacentral:rRNA from 1 species